GUGGGUAUAGUAUAAUGGUAGUAUGAUAGGCUUCCAACCUAUUGGUGCGAGUUCGACUCUCGUUGCCCAUA
rnacentral:tRNA from 2 species